AAGGCAGCAGGCACGCAAAUUACCCACUCCCGGAACGGGGAGGUAGUGACAAAAAAUAACGAUACGGGACUCAUCCGAGGCCCCGUAAUCGGAAUGAGUACACUUUAAAACAUUUAACAAGUACCAAAUGGAGGGCAAGUCUGGUGCCAGCAGCCGCGGUAAUUCCAGCUCCAUUAGCGUAUAUUAAAGUUGUUGCGGUUAAAAAGCUCGUAGUUGGUUCUGUGUCCCGCGCUGCCGGUUCACCGCCUGCCGGUGCAACUGGCAUGCCGCGGGAUGUACUGUCGGUGGCGUCCCCCAUCCCCGGCGCGUGUAGGCGCUACGCCGAAGCGCGCCGGUGCGCGUGAGGGACGCCGAUCUAAUCCUGCCGCGGUGCUCUUCAGUGAGUGUCGAGGUAGGCCGACACGUUUACUUUGAACAAAUUAGAGUGCUUAAAGCAGGCUAACAAUGCCUGUAUACCUGGGCAUGGAAUAAUGGAAUAGGACCUCGGUUCUAUUUUGUUGGUUUCCUGAACCCGAGGUAAUGAUCAAUAUGGACAGGCGGGGGCAUUCGUAUUGCGACGUUAGAGGUGAAAUUCUUGGAUCGUCGCAAGACGGACUAGAGCGAAAGCAUUUGCCAAGUAUGUCUUAGUUGAUCAAGAACGAAAGUUAGAGGUUCGAAGGCGAUCAGAUACCGCCCUAGUUCUAACCAUAAACGAUGCCAGCCAGCGAUCCGCCGAUGUUCCUCCGAUGACUCGG
rnacentral:rRNA from 1 species